GAUGAAGAACGUAGCGAAAUGCGAUAAGUAAUGUGAAUUGCAGAGUUCAGUGAAUCAUCGAAUCUUUGAACGCACAUUGCGCCCUCUGGUAUUCCGGGGGGCAUGCCUGUUCGAGCGUCAUUAUAACCACUCAAGCUCUCGCUUGGUAUUGGGGUUCGCGGUUUCGCGGCCCCUAAAAUCAGUGGCGGUGCCUGUCGGCUCUACGCGUAGUAAUACUCCUCGCGAUUGAGUCCGGUAGGUCUACUUGCCAGCAACCCCUAAUUUUUUUAAGGUUGACCUCGGAUCAGGUAGGGAUACCCGCUGAACUUAAGCAUAUCAAUAAGCGGAGGA
rnacentral:misc_RNA from 1 species